UACGGAGGGUGCGAGCGUUAAUCGGAAUUACUGGGCGUAAAGCGUGCGCAGGCGGUCAUGUAAGUCAGAUGUGAAAUCCCCGGGCUUAACCUGGGAAUUGCAUCUGUGACUGCAUCGCUAGAGUACGGUAGAGGGGGAUGGAAUUCCGCGUGUAGCAGUGAAAUGCGCAGAGAUGCGGAGGAAUACCGAUGGCGAAGGCAACCCCCUGGAC
rnacentral:rRNA from 1 species